rnacentral:rRNA from 1 species
AGCGGCGGACGGGUGAGUAAUGCCUAGGAAUCUGCCUAGUGGUGGGGGACUAACGAUUCGGAAACGGACGCUAAUACCGCAUACGUCCUACGGGAGAAAGCGGGGGACCUUCGGGCCUCGCGCCAUUAGAUGAGCCUAGGUCGGAUUAGCUAGUUGGUGAGGUAACGGCUCACCAAGGCGACGAUCCGUAACUGGUCUGAGAGGAUGAUCAGUCACACUGGAACUGAGACACGGUCCAGACACCUACGGGAGGCAGCAGUGGGGAAUAUUGGACAAUGGGCGAAAGCCUGAUCCAGCCAUGCCGCGUGUGUGAAGAAGGUCUUCGGAUUGUAAAGCACUUUAAGUUGGGAGGAAGGGUAGUAACUUAAUACGUUGCUAUUUUGACGUUACCGACAGAAUAAGCACCGGCUAACUCUGUGCCAGCAGCCGCGGUAAUACAGAGGGUGCAAGCGUUAAUCGGAAUUACUGGGCGUAAAGCGCGCGUAGGUGGUUUGUUAAGUUGGAUGUGAAAGCCCCGGGCUCAACCUGGGAACUGCAUCCAAAACUGGCAAGCUAGAGUACGGUAGAGGGUGGUGGAAUUUCCUGUGUAGCGGUGAAAUGCGUAGAUAUAGGAAGGAACACCAGUGGCGAAGGCGACCACCUGGACUGAUACUGACACUGAGGUGCGAAAGCGUGGGGAGCAAACAGGAUUAGAUACCCUGGUAGUCCACGCCGUAAACGAUGUCAACUAGCCGUUGGGAGUCUUGAACUCUUAGUGGCGCAGCUAACGCAUUAAGUUGACCGCCUGGGGAGUACGGCCGCAAGGUUAAAACUCAAAUGAAUUGACGGGG